UAUUACACAAUGGGCGCAAGCCUGAUGCAGCGACGCCGCGUGAGGGAUGGAGGCCUUCGGGUUGUAAACCUCUUUUGUUGGGGAGCAAGCCUUCGGGUGAGUGUACCUUUCGAAUAAGCGCCGGCUAACUACGUGCCAGCAGCCGCGGUAAUAGGUAGUGCGCAAGCGUUAUCCGGAUUUAUUGGGCGUAAAGGGCUCGUAGGCGGCUCGGCGCGUCCGGUGUGAAAGUCCAUCGCUUAACGGUGGAUCUGCGCCGGGUACGGGCGGGCUGGAGUGCGGUAGGGGAGACUGGAAUUCCCGGUGUAACGGUGGAAUGUGUAGAUAUCGGGAAGAACACCGAUGGCGAAGGCAGGUCUCUGGGCCGUCACUGACGCUGAGGAGCGAAAGCGUGGGGAGCGAACAGG
rnacentral:rRNA from 1 species